rnacentral:rRNA from 1 species
GUCUUUUUGAAAUUUAUUUAAAGUCUAAUCUGCUCAAUGAAUUUUAUAUUUAAAUAGCUGCAGUAUUUUAACUGUACAAAGGUAGCAUAAUAAUUUGUCUUUUAAUUAAAGACUAGAAUGAAAGAUUUAACGAAGUAAAAACUGUAUCUUAUUAAAUAUUAUUUAAAUUUAAUUUUUAAGUUAAAAAGCUUAAAUAUUUUUAAAGGACGAGAAGACCCUAUAGAGUUUUAUAAAUUAUUUAAAUAUUAUUUUUAUUAAAUUUAAUAUUUUAAGUAAAUUAUUUUAUUGGGGUGAUAAAAAAAUUAAAUAAACUUUUUUAUUUAAAUAACAUUAAUUAAUGAUUUUUUGAUCCUUAAAUAAAGAUUAAUAGAUUAAAUUACCUUAGGGAUAACAGCGUUAUUUUUUUUAGAGUAUUUAUCAAUAAGAAAGAUUGCGACCUCGAUGUUGGAUUAAAAUUAAAUUUAGGUAUAAAAGCUUAAGAUUUAAGUCUGUUCGACUUUUAAAAUUUUACA